rnacentral:rRNA from 1 species
CGGGACGGGGUGGGAGGUAAUGUCUGGGAAACGUGCCCGAUGGAGGGGGAUAAUAACUGGAACGGGUAGCUAAUACCGCAUAACGUCGCAAGACCAAAGAGGGGGACCUUCGGGCCUCUUGCCAUCGGAUGUGCCCAGAUGGGAUUAGCUAGUAGGUGGGGUAACGGCUCACCUAGGCGACGAUCCCUAGCUGGUCUGAGAGGAUGACCAGCCACACUGGAACUGAGACACGGUCCAG